rnacentral:snoRNA from 1 species
CUGCAUCUAUGUGACAGACCCAUAACAGUUACUGUCUGCCACUAAGGUUUCCACUACAGAUGCAAGUUUAAAAGAAAGUCCUUGUGCUUUCUAAUUGUGGCAGCCAAUCUUGAAUGGGGGAAUACAGGC